UACGUAGGGGCUAGCGUUGUCCGGAAUCAUUGGGCGUAAAGAGCGCUGUAGGCGGCCCGGUAAGUCCGCUGUAAAAGUCAAAGGCUCAACCUUUGAAUGUCAGUGGAUACUGCCGGGCUAGAGUCCGGAAGAGGCGAGUGGAACUCCUGGUGUAGCGGUGGAAUGCGCAGAUAUCAGGAAGAACACCAACGGCGAAGGCAGCUCGCUGGGACGGUACUGACGCUGAGACGCGAAAGCGUGGGGAGCGAACAGG
rnacentral:rRNA from 1 species